rnacentral:rRNA from 1 species
UGCGUAGGUGGCGUGGCAAGUCAGAUGUGAAAGCCCGGGGCUCAACUCCGGAACUGCAUCCGAUACUGCCAUGCUAGAGCACUGAAGGGGUGACCGGAAUUCUCGGUGUAGCAGUGAAAUGCGUGGAUAUCGAGAGGAACACCAAAGGCGAAGGCAGGUCACUGGGCAGUUGCUGACACUGAGGCACGAAGGCCAGGGUAGCGAACG